rnacentral:rRNA from 1 species
CGCAUCUGUGCAUGCAGCAUAUCAAUAAGCGGAGGAAAAGAAACUAACAAGGAUUCCCUUAGUAACGGCGAGUGAAGCGGGAAGAGCUCAAAUUUGAAAUCUUCAAGGUUCUACCUUGACGAAUUGUAGUUUAAAGUAGUGUUUUCUGUUGAAGUUUUGGUAAAAGUUCUUUGGAAUAGGACAUCAUAGAGGGUGAGAAUCCCGUAUUUGACCAUUAUUUUCAGCUGUGUGAUACACUUUCAAAGAGUCGGAUUGUUUGGGAAUGCAGUCCAAAAUGGGUGGUAAAUUUCAUCUAAAGCUAAAUAUUGGCGAGAGACCGAUAGCGAACAAGUACCGUGAGGGAAAGAUGAAAAGAACUUUGAAAAGAGAGUUAAACAGUACGUGAAAUUGUCAAAAGGGAAGCGUUUGACACCAGUGUUGUUUUCUCGAAAAUCAAUUAAAAAGAGUUUGAUUUUGUUGUGUACUGACCUUAACAGCUUGCAUUCCAAUUUUCUUGCUUUUUUUAAUGCACUUUUCGUUUAACAAGUCAACAUCAGUUUCUUUUGUUGUAAAAAGGUCAUUGGAAGGUGGCUUUCUUUUCGGAGAAAGUGUUUAUAGCCUUUGACUCCUGCAAUCGGAGAGACUGAGGUCUGCAGCGUAGAUCCUUCGGGGUUAGAUACAUUUGUGCUAAGUUAUAGCUUUUUAUAGACAACUUGUUGACUAUGAUUAGUCUUGUAGCUUACUCGCUUAUGCUAUUUUACCUACGCUUAGGAUGUUGACACACGCGCGUGCUCG